rnacentral:rRNA from 1 species
AAGAUGGCGACCGGCGCACGGGUGAGUAACACGUAUCCAACCUGCCGAUAACUCCGGAAUAGCCUUUCGAAAGAAAGAUUAAUACCGGAUAGCAUACGAAUAUCGCAUGAUAUUUUUAUUUAAAGAAUUUCGGUUAUCGAUGGGGAUGCGUUCCAUUAGUUUGUUGGCGGGGGUAACGGCCCACCAAGACUACGAUGGAUAGGGGUUCUGAGAGGAAGGUCCCCCACAUUGGAACUGAGACACGGUCCAAACUCCUACGGGAGGCAGCAUG